rnacentral:rRNA from 1 species
UGGGGAAUUUUGGACAAUGGGGGAAACCCUGAUCCAGCCAUCCCGCGUGUGCGAUGAAGGCCUUCGGGUUGUAAAGCACUUUUGGCAGGAAAGAAACGUCGUGGGUUAAUACCCCGCGAAACUGACGGUACCUGCAGAAUAAGCACCGGCUAACUACGUGCCAGCAGCCGCGGUAAUACGUAGGGUGCAAGCGUUAAUCGGAAUUACUGGGCGUAAAGCGUGCGCAGGCGGUUCGGAAAGAAAGAUGUGAAAUCCCAGAGCUUAACUUUGGAACUGCAUUUUUAACUACCGGGCUAGAGUGUGUCAGAGGGAGGUGGAAUUCCGCGUGUAGCAGUGAAAUGCGUAGAUAUGCGGAGGAACACCGAUGGCGAAGGCAGCCUCCUGGGAUAACACUGACGCUCAUGCACGAAAGCGUGGGGAGCAAACAGGAUUAGAUACCCUGGUAGUCCACGCCCUAAACGAUGUCAACUAGCUGUUGGGGUCUUCGGACCUUGGUAGCGCAGCUAACGCGUGAAGUUGACCGCCUGGGGAGUACGGUCGCAAGAUUAAAACUUAAAUGAAUUGACGGGGUCAUAGCUGUUUCCU